AUUUAAGUAGCUUAUAUAUAGAGUGUAACACUGAAGAUGUUAAGGAAAUAGAUUUAUUCUUAAAUA
rnacentral:tRNA from 1 species